UUGGAAGUAAAAGUCGUAACAAGGUCCCCGUUGGUGAACCAGCGGAGGGAUCAUUACCGAGUUAUCCAACUCCCAACCCCUGUGAAUUAUACCUUUAAUUGUUGCUUCGGCGGGACUUCGCGCCCGCCGGGGACCCAAACCUUCUGAAUUUUUUAAUAAGUAUCUUCUGAGUGGUUAAAAAAAUGAAUCAAAACUUUCAACAACGGAUCUCUUGGUUCUGGCAUCGAUGAAGAACGCAGCGAAAUGCGAUAAGUAAUGUGAAUUGCAGAAUUCAGUGAAUCAUCGAAUCUUUGAACGCACAUUGCGCCCGUCAGUAUUCUGGCGGGCAUGCCUGUUCGAGCGUCAUUACGCCCCUCAAGUCCCCCUGUGGACUUGGUGUUGGGGAUCGGCGAGGCUGGUUUUCCAGCACAGCCGUCCCUUAAAUUAAUUGGCGGUCUCGCCGUGGCCCUCCUCUGCGCAGUAGUAAAACACUCGCAACAGGAGCCCGGCGCGGUCCACUGCCGUAAAACCCCCCAACUUUUUAUAGUUGACCUCGAAUCAGGUAGGACUACCCGCUGAACUUAAGCAUAUCAAUAAGCGGAGGAAA
rnacentral:misc_RNA from 1 species